AUCUAAUUGACAAGUCCCAAAAAUAGGACGAAAUGUGCGUCCUGGAU
rnacentral:hammerhead_ribozyme from 1 species